rnacentral:rRNA from 1 species
ACGGGGUGCAGCAGGCGCGAAAACUUUGCAAUAAGCGCAAGCUUGACAGGGCUAUCCCGAGUGCCAUCCGCUGAGGAAGGCUUUUACCCAGUCUAGAACGCUGGGGGAAUAAGGAGAGGGCAAGUCUGGCGUCAGCCGCCGCGGUAAUACCAGCUCUCCGAGUGGUGUGGAUGUUUAUUGGGCCUAAAGCAUCCGUAGCUGGCUAGGUCAGUCCCUUGUUAAAUCCACCGAAUUAAUCGUUGGAUUGCGGGGGAUACUGCUUGGCUAGGGGACGAGAGAGGCAGACGGUAUUUUCGGGGUAGGGGUGAAAUCCUAUAAUCCCGGGAAGACCACCAGUGGCGAAGGCUGUCUGCUAGAACGCGCCCGACGGUGAGGGAUGAAAGCUGGGGGAGCGAACCGGAUUAGAUACCCGGGUAGUCCCAGCUGUAAACGAUGCAGACUAUGUGUUUGGACGGCCACGUGCCGUUCUAGUGCCGCAGGGAAGCUGUUAAGUCUGCCGCCUGGGGAGUACGAUCGCAAGAUUGAAACUUAAAGGAAUUGGCGGGGGAGCAC